GAUGAACGCUGGCGGCGUGCCUAAUACAUGCAAGUAGAACGCUGAAGGAAGGAGCUUGCUCUUUCCGGAUGAGUUGCGAACGGGUGAGUAACGCGUAGGUAACCUGCCUGGUAGCGGGGGAUAACUAUUGGAAACGAUAGCUAAUACCGCAUAACAGUAGAUGUUGCAUGAUAUCUACUUAAAAGGUGCAAUUGCCCCACUACCAGAUGGACCUGCGUUGUAUUAGCUAGUUGGUGAGGUAACGGCUCACCAAGGCGACGAUACAUAGCCGACCUGAGAGGGUGAUCGGCCACACUGGGACUGAGACACGGCCCAGACGCCUACGGGAGGCAGCAGGAGGGAAUCUUCGGCAAUGGACGGAAGUCUGACCGAGCAACGCCGCGGGAGUGCAGAAGGUUUUCGGAUCGUAAAGCUCUGUUGUAAGAGAAGAACGAGUGUGAGAGUGGAAAGUUCACACUGUGACGGUAGCUUACCAGAAAGGGACGGCUAACUACGUG
rnacentral:rRNA from 1 species